GUUACCCUGAUCAACGGACAAAAGCUACGCUAGGGAUAACAGGCUUAUCCGCCUUUAGAGUUCCUAUCGAUGGGCGGGUUUGGCACCUCGAUGUCGGAUCAUCGCGUCCUGUGGCUGAAGGAGGUCGCAAGGGUUGGAUUGUUCGUCCAUUAAAGUGGUACGUGAUCUGAGUUCAGACCGUCGUGAGACAGUUCGGUUUCUAUCUUUGUCAGCGAAAGGCUUGUUUUGAAACGCCUAUGCACAGUUAGCCGCUGGGGGCGAGUACGAAAGGACCAGACCCCUAUAAACCUCUGGUACACUUGUUGUCAUUUACACGGCAUAGCAAGAAAGCUAAGUUUUAAAAGGCUAGAUUGCCUACAUUCAAUAACACCGAAUGACCCCGACUUACAAAAAGUUUAGGACUAAAUUUAUGA
rnacentral:misc_RNA from 1 species